CGGUGUUCAACUGGCGUGCCCGCGGGACGUCCUGCCGGUGAGCUCAGCCCGCGAGGGCGGCUCAACUUGAAAUCCCAUCGCGGUGCUCUUCAUUGAGUGUCGAGGUGGGCCGGCACGAUUACUUUUGAACAAAUUAGAGUGCUUAAAGCAGGCUAAAAUUUUGCCUGAAUACUGUGUAUAUGGAAUAAUGGAAUAGGACCUCGGUUCUAUUUUGUUGGUUUUCGGAACCCCGAGGUAAUGAUUAAUAGGAACGGAUGGGGGCAUUCGUAUUGCGACGUUAGAGGUGAAAUUCUUGGAUCGUCGCAAGACGGACUAAAGCGAAAGCAUUUGCCAAAAACGCUUUCAUUGAUCAAGAACGAAAGUUAGAGGUUCGAAGGCGAUCAGAUACCGCCCUAGUUCUAACCAUAAACUAUGCCAGCUAGCGAUCCGCCGACGUCCCUCUGAUGACUCGGCGGGCAGCUUCCGGGAAACCAAAGCUUUUGGGUUCCGGGGGAAGUAUGGUUGCAAAGCUGAAACUUAAAGGAAUUGACGGAAGGGCGCCACCAGGAGUGGAGCCUGCGGCUUAAUUUGACUCAACACGGGAAACCUCACCAGGCCCAGACACUGGAAGGAUUGACAGAUUGAGAGCUCUUUCUUGAUUCAGUGGGUGGUGGUGCAUGGCCGUUCUUAGUCGGUGGAGCGAUUUGUCAGGUUAAUUCCGAUAACGGACGAGACUCUGACCUGAUAACUAGACGCACUUGCGGCAUCUCAAAGGUCCGCCGGCGGCUGGCUUUGCGCCCGUCGUCGCGCGCGAUUUUUACUGCCGGCGUACAAUAAAUUCUUCUUAGAGGGACAAGUGG
rnacentral:rRNA from 1 species